AUACGUAGGGUGCGAGCGUUAAUCGGAAUUACUGGGCGUAAAGCGUGCGCAGGCGGUUUUGUAAGACAGAUGUGAAAUCCCCGGGCUCAACCUGGGAACUGCGUUUGUGACUGCAAGGCUAGAGUGCGGCAGAGGGGGGUGGAAUUCCACGGGUAGCAGGGAAAUGCGUAGGGAUGUGGAGGAACACCGAUGGCGAAGGCAGCCCCCUGGGUCGUAACUGACGCUCAUGCACGAAAGCGUGGGGAGCAAACAGGAUUAGAUACCCUGGUAGUCCACGCCCUAAACGAUGUCGACUAGUUGUUCGGAAGGUUAUCUUCUGGGUAACGCAGCUAACGCGUGAAGUCGACCGCCUGGGGAGUACGGUCGCAAGAUUAAAACUCAAAGGAAUUGGCGGGG
rnacentral:rRNA from 1 species